CCCCUCAUAGCUCAGUUGGAAGAGCGCGGCAUUGUAAUCCCCUAAGGCUGUAUUGAACAGUUGUAUUCGUUCUGCCGCGGUCACCCGUUCGAUCCGGGUUGAGGGGA